CAUUACAGAGUUCCUGCCCUCACGGGUAGAAACCCCACCCUUGUGUAUAUUAUAUUGUUGCUUUAGCAGGUCGCCCUCUGGGGCGUCGGCCUUGGCUGACUGUGCCUGCUAGAGGACCCUAAACUUUGAAAUACAGUGUCGUCUGAGUACUAUUUAAUAGUUAAAACUUUCAACAACGGAUCUCUUGGUUCUGGCAUCGAUGAAGAACGCAGCGAAAUGCGAUAAGUAAUGUGAAUUGCAGAAUUCAGUGAAUCAUCGAAUCUUUGAACGCACAUUGCGCCCCUUGGUAUUCCGGGGGGCAUGCCUGUUCGAGCGUCAUUUAGACCAACUCCCGCUCCGGCGGGGUCUUGGGCUGCGCCCUUGGGCGGGCCUUAAAACCAGUGGCGGUGCCCUAAGGCUCUACGCGUAGUAAUUCUUCUCGCGAUAGGGUCCUUGCGGUGUCUUGCCAGCAACCCCCAACUCUCUAGGGUGACCUCGGAU
rnacentral:rRNA from 1 species